GCGUGAGUGAAGAAGGGUUUCGGCUCGUAAAGCUCUGUUGUUAAAGAAGAACACGUAUGAGAGUAACUGUUCAUACGUUGACGGUAUUUAACCAGAAAGUCACGGCUAACUACGUGCCAGCAGCCGCGGUAAUACGUAGGUGGCAAGCGUUAUCCGGAUUUAUUGGGCGUAAAGAGAGUGCAGGCGGUUUUCUAAGUCUGAUGUGAAAGCCUUCGGCUUAACCGGAGAAGUGCAUCGGAAACUGGAUAACUUGAGUGCAGAAGAGGGUAGUGGAACUCCAUGUGUAGCGGUGGAAUGCGUAGAUAUAUGGAAGAACACCAGUGGCGAAGGCGGCUACCUGGUCUGCAACUGACGCUGAGACUCGAAAGCAUGGGUAGCGAACAGGAUUAGAUACCCCGGGUAGUCA
rnacentral:rRNA from 1 species